UGGGGAAUAUUGGACAAUGGGCGAAAGCCUGAUCCAGCCAUGCCGCGUGUGUGAAGAAGGUCUUCGGAUUGUAAAGCACUUUAAGUUGGGAGGAAGGGCAUUAACCUAAUACGUUAGUGUUUUGACUUUACCGACAGAAUAAGCACCGGCUAACUCUGUGCCAGCAGCCGCGGUAAUACAGAGGGUGCAAGCGUUAAUCGGAAUUACUGGGCGUAAAGCGCGCGUAGGUGGUUUGUUAAGUUGGAUGUGAAAGCCCCGGGCUCAACCUGGGAACUGCAUCCAAAACUGGCAAGCUAGAGUACGGUAGAGGGUGGUGGAAUUUCCUGUGUAGCGGUGAAAUGCGUAGAUAUAGGAAGGAACACCAGUGGCGAAGGCGACCACCUGGACUGAUACUGACACUGAGGUGCGAAAGCGUGGGGAGCAAACA
rnacentral:rRNA from 1 species